GUGCACGCUGGCGGUAGGCCUAACACAUGCAAGUCGCACGGCAGCACAGUAAGAGCUUGCUCUUACGGGUGGCGAGUGGCGGACGGGUGAGGAAUACAUCGGAAUCUACUUUUUCGUGGGGGAUAACGUAGGGAAACUUACGCUAAUACCGCAUACGACCUACGGGUGAAAGCAGGGGAUCUUCGGACCUUGCGCGAUUGAAUGAGCCGAUGUCGGAUUAGCUAGUUGGCGGGGUAAAGGCCCACCAAGGCGACGAUCCGUAGCUGGUCUGAGAGGAUGAUCAGCCACACUGGAACUGAGACACGGUCCAGACUCCUACGGGAGGCAGCAGUGGGGAAUAUUGGACAGUGGGCGCAAGCCUGAUCCAGCCAUACCGCGUGGGUGAAGAAGGCCUUCGGGUUGUAAAGCCCUUUUGUUGGGAAAGAAAAGCAGCAGGUUAAUACCCCGCUGUUCUGACGGUACCCAAAGAAUAAGCACCGGCUAACUUCGU
rnacentral:rRNA from 1 species